AGUGAACGCUGGCGGCAUGCCUAACACAUGCAAGUCGAACGGCAACACAGUAAGAUUUUGCUCUUACCGGUGGCGAGGGGCGGACGGGUGACGAAUACAUCGGAAUCUUCUUUUUCUUGGGGGAUAACGGAGGGAAACUUACGCUAAUACCGCAUAUGAUCUACCGGUUGAAGCAGUGGAGCUUCGCACCUUUCGCGAUUGAAUUAGCCGAUGCCGUAUUAGCUAGUUGGGAGGGUAAAGGCCCACCAAGGCGACGAUCCGUAGCUGGUCUGAGAGGAUGAUCAGCCACACUGGAACUGAGACACGGUCCAGACUCCUACGGGAGGCAGCAGUGGGGAAUAUUGGGCAAAGGGCGCAAGCCUGACCCAGCCAUACCGCGUGGGUGAAGAAGGCCUUCGGGUCGUAAAGCCCUUUUAUUGGGGAAGAAAAGCAGUAGGUUAAUCCACCGCUGUUCUGACGGUACCCAAUGAAUAAGCACCGGCUAACUACGUG
rnacentral:rRNA from 1 species